rnacentral:rRNA from 1 species
GACGAAGGAUGCAAGCGUUAUCCGGAUUCAUUGGGUUUAAAGGGAGCGUAGGUGGCCUUAUAAGUCAGUGGUGAAAUCUCUGGGCUUAACCCAGAAAUUGCCAUUGAUACUGUAGGGCUUGAGUAUAGUUCCGUUGGCGGAAUAUGACAUGUAGUGGUGAAAUACAUAGAGAUGUCAUAGAACACCGAUUGCGAAGGCAGCUCACAAAGCCAUUAUUGACGCUGAGGCACGAAAGCGUGGGGAUCAAACAGG